AUUGAACGCUGGCGGCAUGCCUUACACAUGCAAGUCGAACGGCAGCACGGGUGCUUGCACCUGGUGGCGAGUGGCGAACGGGUGAGUAAUAUAUCGGAACGUACCUUAUUGUGGGGGAUAACGCAGCGAAAGCUGUGCUAAUACCGCAUAAUCCCUAAGGGGGAAAGCGGGGGACCGUAAGGCCUCGCGCAAUUAGAGCGGCCGAUACCUGAUUAGCUAGUUGGUGAGGUAAAGGCUCACCAAGGCAACGAUCAGUAGCUGGUCUGAGAGGACGAUCAGCCACACUGGGACUGAGACACGGCCCAGACCCCUACGGGAGGCAGCAGUGGGGAAUUUUGGACAAUGGGGGCAACCCUGAUCCAGCAAUGCCGCGUGAGUGAAGAAGGCCUUCGGGUUGUAAAGCUCUUUUGUCAGGGAAGAAACAGCAGCUCUAACACAGUUUGCGAAUGACGGUACCUGAAGAAUAAGCACCGGCUAACUACGUGCAGCCGCCGCGGUAA
rnacentral:rRNA from 1 species